rnacentral:rRNA from 1 species
GUGCCAGCCGCCGCGGUAAUACCGGCAGCUCAAGUGAUGUCCAAUAUUAUUGGGCCUAAAGCGUCCGUAGCUGGCCGCACAAGUCUGUCGGGAAAUCCACCUGCUCAACAGGUGGGCGUCCGGCGGAAACUGUGUGGCUUGGAACCGGAAGGCUCAGAGGGUACGUCCGGGGUAGGAGUGAAAUCCCGUAAUCCUGGACGGACCGCCGAUGGCGAAAGCACGUCGCGAAGACGGAUCCGACAGCGAGGGACGAAAGCUAGGGUCUCGAACCGGAUUAGAUACCCCGGUAGUCC